CACUUAGAUAUCUUGGUCUUCCUUUUUUAAUUAAANUUUAAAAAUUGAUAAGAAGACAGAUAAUAUUAAAAUGAUUUAUUUUUUAUUUUAUUUUUUAUUAUUAUAAUUUAACUAUGGUGGUGGCACAAAAUCGGAGGCCCCGACUGUUUACUAAAAACACAAUUCAGAGCAAUGAUGCAAAUCAUAGUAUUCUGGAUGAAAUUUGCCCGAUGCCAUUAACAUAAAAGAGGUAAUAGGAAACUGUUACUAAUUGAAAGUCUGGUUAAUAGCGGUCUUAACUAUGAGGAUCCUAAGGUAGCAAAAUCAGUUGGCCAUUAAAUGUGGUCUGGUAUCAAUAGUGUAACGAUGGUCUCACUGUCUCUACAACUUGCUCAGUGAAAUUGAAUUACCCGUGCAGAUGCGGGUUACC
rnacentral:rRNA from 1 species